rnacentral:lncRNA from 1 species
AGGAAUAGAUUGCAAGACAUAGUCAAAAUGGAGACGCUUCAAAAAGGUUCUGUUUAGUACCUAAACCACAAGCCCACACAAUAUCUAGGGAUCUAAACAUCCCUCAAAACUAUGAAAAUUUCAGUAAGAACAAAACAAUUGCAGGAUAACAACACCAAUGCACAAACAAGAGGUGAAUAGCUACAUAUUCAAUUGGCACGGCCUCUUAUCACAUCGAGGCCCAUCUCAGAUGGAUCAGUUGCUUGUAACUCCACCUGGAUGCCAUCCAGUUCUCUCUUGAACCUGUCCUUGGAGCUUGCAUAAAGCAUCUUGCUUCGCACUCUUGAUGUGUCAGGCGACCUUCACAUGAAUAUGAAAAGUAAUAGGAAGUUAUUAUCUAUACAUCAAAGGGAUAUUAAAUAAAGUCCACUGGAUACAAUGGAUUAAUGUACCAAGCGAUAAAAAUGAUCUUGCUUUUCUGGCAGUUCUCUUCGUUCACGAAAUCAAAAUCAUAUAUCGCAUAUCUGCAUUCAUUUGUAGGAAGGGUGGCAGUGAAAUCAUCAUAGGUCAAAUUGGGUUCACCGAGCUUUUCCACAAUGACCUGCUUCUGUUUCUCAUCAAUCUUAAAUAUUAUGAAACGAUAAGUUCGCUUAGCCUUCAACUCCAGGAACUUCAGCUUGCAGUCAUCAUUUACUGCCAUUCCUGAUGCCGCGUUUGCCUUUCAUAUCACAAAGUAACAAGUCAUUCCCAUAAAUGUCAAAUCUAGUUACUAUAAUCAAAUCUUAUUCUCCUAGAUAAUCAAAUGUAGUUAUUAGAGGCCAUAUGGCAAAUAACAAACCAGACAAUGAAACAUCCUACGUAUAUACUAAUGGCAAAAAAUAAGAGCUAAAGUGUUUUUUCUGGGGCGGGUGGCGGGGAGUGAGGGAAGUAUUAAUAUAUACAAAUUCAUGUGCACGUACGUAUAUACGCGUUUGUGUAGAUCGACAAAAUGAGUAAUCUUAGCGUCGCUGUAGUCCGAUCCUCCCAAAAACCUUGGAUAAUCCAAUCGAUCCAUCGCCUUUUAUCAACAGAAUGAAGUUAAAUGGCCCAAUCCAUGAAUAGGAAUGGUAAUCCAUCCGUCAAAACAAGCAGGACCAACGAUUAACCACUUCGAUCGACACAAACCGACGAAGAAGUUCAACAAUCCACAUAUAACAACACACCAAUCACAUCAAACCCACUCGCAAACCCUAGCGAAAUGAGAUCAAGCACAAGAACUAACCCCUGAAGACGAACCUACAUGAUUCGGAGACAGAUUUCACGGAUUCCAGAACAGAAUACAAUCACCGGACAUGGAUGCAUGAAACACCGCAAAUUUCUUGAUCACUAGUCAAGAAGGGACGGGAUAGGAGGAGGAAAAAAAGAAAGCUAGCAUCGAAGAGACAGAGGAAAGAAAGUACCAUCUUGGGGGCGGCUAUGACGGGAGAUCGGAGGAAGAAAUCGAGGGCUCGAGAGGUAGGGAUUCGGGGAAUGUAGAUGAGCGAUCAAAAGGUGGUGGCGGUGAUGGUAGAAUGUGUUCUUUCUUUUGGCUUAAAUAGGGAUGGGUAGAUCGUGACGGUCGUCACACGAGGUGCCGACAUAAAGCAAAGGUUUGUCCAAUGACGUUACGGCACGUUGGAGCGAUCCCUCUUGACGCAGUGACGUUGCGCCAAAUAAAUGCCUGCUAUUUAUUCACGCUUAGACACGUGUGUUUUAUAGUUUUGGCAUGUAUUAUACGUGUAUUAAUAUUGAAAAAAGAGUACAUGGGUAUUUUAUGUAUAUCCUUAUAAAUAGAGGAUAUUUAUAUCAGUAUACCAAAUAUUAAGUGUCCUAGUAAACUUGACUUAUCUCGAAUUUUAUAUAGAGUUUAUUGCACCAAAUUUAAUGGAAACGUGACAAACACAUUUUCGACUUCUCAUAAAAUCUCAAGGACGACUUGCAUAUAAAUACACAUAUGUUGUAGGAUACAUAUGUAAAAUACUCAUUUUAUUAUAGAAGCCCUUUCGCUAUUGGUAAACCCUCUUGACAAUCACGUUAAAUAAAUAUAUAAUAUAAUUAUCAAUCAUAUACUAAAUAUAUAAUAUAUAAUAUAGUAAAUAUAAUAUAAUAUAAUUAUCAAUAAAAAAAUAUUUUACUUUAAAAAAAUAAUUAUCAAUCAUAUCCUUAUUUUUCACAAUAUCUUAUUUUAUCUAUUGGACAAUCAUCCCGGUGACACUACUCUAUCAUCUUAAAUAAAUAUAUAAUAUAAUUAUCAAUCAUAUACUAAUUAUAUAAUAUAUAAUAUAGAAAAUAUAAUAUAAUUAUAAAUAAAAAUUAUUGUUUACUUAAAAAAUAAUUAUCCAUCAUAUCCUUAUUUCUCACAAUAUCUUAUUUUAUCUAUUCGACAAUCGGUGACAUUACUCAAAAUCACUCUAUGCUACUUUUAGAGCAUUUACAUCUAUUUGUUGAGGGAUGUCUUUAGAAUAUUAAAAAUCUUAAAAUAAGAUUAUAAAUAAUAAAUUAUCAAUAAAAAUCUCUUAAAUAAUAAUAAUAAUAUUAUUAUUAAUAUGAAUACAUGGGUCUAUUAUACAAAAUUCAUGAAAAAGAAUAGUUAAUAGUUAUGUCUUCAAGCUUUUUUUCUUUCACUCUUAUAAUAAUAAUAAUAAUAAUAAUAAUAAUAAUGAUUGUGGUAUUAUAAAGAUUGUAGUAUUAUAAUGAUUAUAAUUUAUCAACGUUCGGUUACCAAAAUCUAACCUUGCUAUUAUUAAACAAAAAAUUAUCAUUGGCUAAAAUUGUUACCAUUAGCACAAAUAUAUCUAUUAAUUAAGAUGCUCAAAUCUUAAAUAAAACCUUCACAAGUAAUUAAGAUCAUAAGAUUUGGUUAUGAUCUUGCUACACAAAAGUGGCCCUCUACAUGCAUGUAAUCAUUGGAAGAUAGACUAAGGAUUGGCAUUUGUUAUUCUUUAUAUUUUACUAUUUAUAAAAAUAGUAAGACUAACAAACACUCGAAACAAAAUCAUGUUUUAUAACCUUUCUUUUUUUUUGUUUAAGAAGUACUUACAAAUAUUUAAAAAGUUAAGAAAUAUAAAGGUUUACUUACAAAAGAAUUUAAAGCAAAGUAUAUCCUUCAGCUCCUAACAUUUGUAACAAGUAAAAUACUUCCAAUAACAUCAAGAAAACAUACAUAUAUUUUUAGAACUGUGAUGAUAAAUAUAAACAUUAUCAGACAAAUCCAACACAUUAGAUGUUUUUCAAUAAGCUUGGGCAUUAUGGUUAUAGAAAUAACCAUUAUAUCGAAAAAUUUAACAAAAACAUACCAAUGUUUUUCAAUCAGGUUGGGCAUUAUGGUCAUAGAGUGACAAAUACAAAAUUUUUUGGGGUACAUUUUCUAGACAUUUUGUAUGUUGAAUUUUUAUUAUUUAUAUAUUUUUUAAUAUAUUAUAACGGACACGCUAUUCUUUUUAUUGGUGUUUUCAAUUAAUGUUGUGUAAAACUAAUAUGAUAAUAUUUGAUACAAUUUUAGUUUUUCGACUUAUAAUCAAUAAGCCGAAGUACUUUACCAUCUCAAUGAAUAUUAUAGAUGUAGAGACAAAAUUGCUUCCUUGAUACACCAAUAUCGAAUAGAAAAAAAAUAAGAUUUGUAUCAAAAUCAAAAUUAUCGAGACUCAAAUCGAAUAUUAAUCUCAUUGUUGUUUGACUUAUUGAGUAUAUAUCUAACAUAUAAUUCUUUUUUACACCUCAAUCGAAAUCCACAUUUGACAAAAUCUUUUAGUGUUUUUAAAGAUUGUGGUAUUAUUAUGAUUAUAAUUUGUCAAUGUUCGAUUACCAAAAUCUAACCUUGCUAUUAUUAAACAAAAAAUUAUCAUUGACUAUAAUUAUUACCAUUAGCACAAAUAUAUCUAUUAAUUAAGAUGCUCAAAUCCUAAAUAAAACCUUCACAAGUAAUUAAGAUCAUAGGAUUUGGUUAUUAUCUUGCUAUACAAAAGUGGCCCUUUACAUGCUAGUAAUCAUUGGAAGAUAGACUAAGGAUUGGCAUUGGUUAUUUAUUUAUAUUUUACUAUUAAUAAAAACAGAUAGACUAACAAACACUCCAAAAAAAACCAUAUUUUAUAACAUUUCCUUUUUUUUGUCUAAAAGUACUUACAAAUAUUCUAAAAGUUAAGAAAUAUAAAGGUUUACCUACAUCCUUCAACACCUUUGUAACAAGUAAAAUGCAUCUAAUAAUAUUAAGAGAACAUACCUAUAUUUUUAGAACUGUGAUGAUAAAUAUAAAUAUUAUCAGAUAAAUCCAACACUUUAGAUAUUUUUUCAAUCAGCUUGGGCAUUAUGGUCAUAGAAAUAAUUUUUACAUCGGAAAAUUUAGCAAAAACAUACCAAUGUUUUUCAAUCAAGUUAGGCAUUUUGGUCACAGAAUGACAACUACAAAAUUUUUUGGGAUACAUUUUCUUGACAUUUUGUAUGUUAAAUUUUUAUUAUUUAUAUAUUUUCUUAAUAUAUUAUAACGGACACUCUAUUUUUUUUAUUGGUGUUUUCAAUUAAUGUUGUAUAAAACUAAUAUGAUAAUAUUUUAUACAAUUUUAGUUUUUCAACAUAGAAUCAAUAAGCCGGAGUACUUUACCAUCUCAAUGAAUAUUGUAGAUAUAGAGACAAAAUUGCUUCUUCGAAACACCAUUAUCUAAUAAAAAAAAGAAUAAGAUUUGUAUCAUAAUCAAAAUUAUCGAGACUCAAAUUGGAUAUUAAUCUCAUUGUUGUUUGACUUGUUGAACAUAUAUCUAACAUAUGAUUCUAUUUUAUACCUCAAUCGAAAUCUAUAAAAUCUUUUAGUGUUUUUAAAGAUUGUGGAAUUAUAAUGAUUAUAAUUUGUCAACAUUCGAUGACCAAAAUCUAACCUUGCUAUUAUAAAACUAAAAAUUAUCAUUGGCUAAAAUUAUUAUCAUUAGCAUAAAUAUAUCUAUUAAUUAAGAUGCUCAAAUCCUAAAUAAAACCUUCAAUCAUAGAAUUUGGUUAUGCUCUUACUACACAAAAGUGGCCCUCUACAUGCUUGUAAUCAUUGGAAGAUAGACUAAGGAUUGGCAUUGGUUAUUCUUUGUAUUUUACUAUUUAUAAAAGCAGAUAGACUAACAAACACUCAAAACAAAAUAAUGUUUUAUAACCUUUCUUUUUUUUUUGUCUAAGAAAAACUUACAAAUAUUCUAAAAGUUAAGAAAUAUAAAGGUUUACCUACAAAAGAAUUUAAAUCAAAAUACAUCCUUCAGCCCCUAACCUUUGUAACAAGUAAAAUGCAUCCAAUAACAUCAAGAAAACAUACCUAUAUUAUUAGAACUGUGAUACUAAUUAUAAACAUUAUCAGACAAAUCCAACACAUUAGAUGUUUUUCAAUCAGCUUGGGCAUUAUGGUCACAGAAAUAACCCUUACAUCGAAAAAUUUAAUAAAAACAUACCAAUAUUUUUCAAUCAGGUUGGGCAUUAUGGUCAUAGACUACAAAAUUUUUUGGGGUACAUUUUAUUGACAUCUUGUAUGUUGAAUUUUUCUUAUUUAUAUAUUUUCUUAAUAUAUUAUAACGGACACGCUAUUCUUUUUAUUGGUGUUUUCAAUUAAUGUUGUGUAAAACUAAUAUUAUAAUAUUUGAUACAAUUUUAGUUUUUCGACUUAUAAUCAAUAAGCCGAAGUACUUUACAAUCUCAAUGAAUAUUGUAGAUGUAGAGACAAAAUUGCUUCCUCGAUACACCAUUAUCGAAUCGAAAAAAGAAUAAGAUUUGUAUCAAAAUCAAAAUUAGCGAGACUCAAAUCAGAUAUUAAUCUCAUUAUUGUUUGACUUAUUGAGCAUAUAUCUAAUAUAUGAUUCUAUUUUACACCUCAAUCGAAAUCCACAUUUGAUAAAAUCUUUUAGUUUAUUUAAAGAUUAUGAUAUUAUAAUAAUUAUAAUUUGUCAACGUUCGAUGACCAAAAUCUAACCCUGCUAUUAUUAAACAAAAAAUUAUCAUUGGCUAAAAUUAUUAUCAUUAGCAUAAAUAUAUCUAUUAAUUUAAUGCUCAAAUCCUAAAAAAACCCUUCACAAGUAAUUAAGAUCAUAGGAUUUGGUUAUGAUUUUGCUAGACAAAAGUGGCUCUCUACAUACUUGUAAUCAUUGGAAGAUUGACUAAUGAUUGGUAUUGGUUAUUUAUUUAUAUUUUACUAUUUAUAAAAGCAGAUAGACUAACGAACACUUGAAACAAAACAAUGUUUUAUAACCUUUCUUUUUUUUAAUUUAUGUAGUACUUACAAAUAUUCUAAAAGUUAAGAAAUAUAAAGGUUUACCUACAAAAGAAUUUAAAGCAAAGUACAUCCUUCUUCCCCUAACCUUUGUAACAAGUAAAAUGCAUCCAAUAACAUUAAGAAAACAUAUCUAUAUUUUUAGAACUGUGAUGAUAAAUAUAAACAUUAUCAGACAAAUCCAAUACGUUAGAUGUUUUUCAAUCAGAUUGGGCAUUAUGAUCACAUAAAUAACCCUUACAUCGGAAAAUUUAUCAAAAAUAUACCAAUGUUUUUCAAUUAGGUUAGGCAUCAUGGUCACAGAGUGACAACUACAAAAUUCAGAGGAUCCACAAGUUAGACCAAAAUACUAAUAUAUAAGCUGCAACUUCAGUUGAAAAUAUGCUAACACACAGCUAAAGAAGUAGAAAGUGUGGCACCUGUAUGAUUAAUCCAUUUGGCAUCUUAUACAGACCUACCGAAGCUCAUUUCAGAGUCGAGUGAUCGGAGACUGAUACAAGCACUAGCAUAUUAACAAACAAAGGCAUGUCCUACAAUGAUGACUGCAAUAACAACCGAAUUGCUCAGCAAAGACAACACUGUAUUGGCCAUUUUCCAUAUGGAAAUGGAAUACAUACUCGAUAAACUGCUCCAAGUUGAGGUAUGGCACACAGACUAUCAAUUUGUAAAACAUCACACAGUACUUCAAGUUCUAAGAGCUAUUGCUUACUGGAUUGUCUGAAGAACCAUCCACAUAUAAGAAUAAAAUAAAUACAGAGAAAGUAAAAACAUCAAAGAUUGAAUACUAUAGUUUCUCAACUCGAAUACUAAAAGAACACUAGAAAGAUGCUAAAUACAAAAUUAUAGAAAAUUGUUUACAAGAGACAUGAAAGAUUUGCACAUAGCAUAGCUUUGGUUAAGUUAGAAAAAACUUAUUUUGAAGUCUCUAUAGAAAUUAAACACACAAUUUCAUUAAAUAGCUGAUGCACAGCGAUUAAGACUAAGAAAAGAAAAACAAACAAAGAUAAAGAAAGGCCAAACAAAAACAAAAUAACAGGACGGGAAACUUCAAGCUUAUCAAUUUGCAAUUUGCGUAAACAAGAAAACAGUAGUUGGAUUGUCUUCGAAAUAUUGCGCACCAAGCUCUCCAACAAGAUGUUGCAUACCACUAGCUUGUAGACAUUAGGAUAUUAGUAGGCACUCACACAAUAGGUACCACACAGAAAUAGAUUGCAAGACAUAGUCAAAAUGGAGAUGCUUUAGAAAGGUUCUAUUUAGUACCUAAACCACAAGCCCACACAAUAUCUAGGGAUCUAAACGUCCCUCAAAACUAUGAAAAUUUCAGUAAGAGCAAAACAAUUACAGGAUAACAACUCCAAUGCACAAACAAGAGGCGAAUAGCCACAUAUUCAAUUGGCACGACCUCUUAU